rnacentral:rRNA from 1 species
AGAAUCAACGCUGGCGGCGUGCCUCAGACAUGCAAGUCGAACGAUUAAAGCUCUCUUCGGAGAGUGUAUAGAGUGGCGCACGGGUGAGUAACACGUAAGUAAUCUACCUUUGAGUGGGGAAUAACCCGGGGAAACCCGAGCUAAUACCGCAUAAUGCAGCGGCAUCGCAAGAUGACAGUUGUUAAAGGAGCAAUCCGCUUAAAGAGGAGCUUGCGGCAGAUUAGCUAGUUGGUAAGGUAAUGGCUUACCAAGGCUACGAUCUGUAUCCGGUCUAAGAGGACGGUCGGACACACUGACACUGAAUAACGGGUCAGACUCCUACGGGAGGCAGCAGUCGGGAAUUUUGGGCAAUGGGCGAAAGCCUGACCAGCAACGCCGCGUGAAGGAUGAAGUAUUUCGGUAUGUAAACUUCGAAAGAAUAGGAAGAAUAAAUGACGGUACUAUUUAUAAGGUCCGGCUAACUACGUAGCCAAGCAGCCGAC